rnacentral:tRNA from 1 species
CGGAGCGUGGCGCAGUCUGGUAGCGCACUUGUAUGGGGUGCAAGGGGUCGAGAGUUCGAAUCUCUCCGCUCCGACCA